CCUGAGUGUAGCUCAGUGGUAGAGCAUUUGCCUGGCAUGCAUAAGGCCCUGGGUUCAAAUCCUCAGCAUCAGGG